AGCUCCAACUCCAGCAUCCUCUAACCCCUACACUUCUGUUGCACAGGGAACAGUGUGGUAUGCAAUUCAUGAAGGCUGGGUAGUAGGAAAUCUGCAAGGGCUGCAUCCACACCCAACAGGGGCAAGAGGCGGCUUUCCAGGAGGGCUCUCCUCCGCCCUCCCCCUGCACAGGAAUGUGAUGAUUUGGGCCAAAAUUCUGCAUCCUGGAUAAUUCAGAUAAUCACCUCAACUCCAUAUUUUGCCUGAGUGUCAAGAACUGACUCCAAAAAGCAGAACAGCUUCCGCUGCAAACUGGUGGCGUAAGUACCCAGUCCAUCACUUAGCUCAGGCCAUCUGCACGUCUUGUCCGAGGGACCACGGCGCGGGUUUGCUGCCCCAGGCGGGCUUGUGCACCUGUCACCGCAGAGCGGAGCAGUCAGAGGGAGCCAUGAGGUCCUGGCCGGGGAGACUGGGUUCAGAGUGUUCAGAAAGGCCACGAAGAAGGUGGUGGAGUCUGAAUAAUGAGCUGUUUGGUAGGCUGGAACAGACCACGGUAGAGCUGGAGCCACGGUCAUGGGCACAGCUGGCUGAUUCCAUCUCAACCUCGGCACCUCCUGCACGGCAUCGGGCAAGCGGCUCAUGCUCUGCGUCACCUGUAAGCCAGUGAUGACCAGGACCCUGCUUCCCAGGAGCCUGUUCCCUGGAGGCCACCUGUACAGGACAGGCGUGGCUGGGGGGGCGUGGCUGGGGGGGCCACAGACUCAGGUAGUGGCCACGGUGAGCUGUCUCCUGGUCCAAACGAUCAUCAGUGAACCAGGACAGUUGAGUUCUGGGACACCGGAUGGUGUGCAGCUGGGACCCGUUCUGCCACAACCAGUCCUCCCGGGUCACGGGCCUGGCUCUCCCUGUGGUACGUCCAGUCCCCUGGGACCCUCAGCAUCUUCUCCCUUGCCCUGAGCUCCUCCUUCCAAGGGAGAAGGGACCCCUGUGUCCUGGGAGGGCUGCCCAGCCUCCUACACCAUCAGGCAGGGUGUGUGCCCCCUGGUCUGGGUUUCCCUAAAGCAGAGUUAGAGACAGGGCCAGGGGCAGCUAUCCUGGGGAAGGAUCGCCCCCAGCGAUCCCCAGCCCUGUUCCUUCUGGGCAGUGCUGGAGGAGGACUGAGCAUCCCGCUAUGGCCAGGGGAAGCUCUCGGAGGGAAGGAGAGACUGGAACCUUAAGGCAAACGCAGAGCCCUGGACAGAACCUGGCCAUCUCGGCCAGUGGUGACUCAGAAGUGGCCGAGGGGCUGUGAGCAGCAUUGGCAGUCUCCACCCCACUGCUCCACCCUCUGGACUUGCUGCCCCACCCCCCCCCCAGCUGUCCCACCUUCCCCCACCUCAUUAAGUGGCAGGUCACAGCCCCCAGCCCAUCCCCUGGAGACACUGCCAUGGAUUCGCAGCCCUUGUCUACAUCUCAGAUCCUCUCACUGGUCCCAGUGAGUUGCAGGCCCACAGGGAGACCCUCCUGUAUCUUCUUGCCCUCUCCCCCAUCCCGCAGACCCUACAUCCCCAAUGCCAUCCGCCCCCUCACUGUCCUGGGCAAACUCCGAGCCUUGUCAGCCCUGCCCAGCCCUCUCGCUGCUGACCACAAGCCCCUCCUGCUGGCUGACUUGCUCAGUUACUUCCCUCAACCCCCAACGUGGGCUUCAGCGAACAGUGGCUGAGCACUGCGGAAGGGCUCCAGGGUCCGGCAGCAAAGCCAGGACAGCAUGGACACAGCCCAGCUUGCCAGAUGACUUCCCCUCGGAGACUGCAGCCCAGGCCGCCCUGUAUCAGCCCCCCUCGUCUUCACUUCCUGCUCCCCAGCGUGCACGACGGAAGUGAUUUUCGCUGUGCCAGGACACAGCUGUUGCUGCUCUGAGACUCAGCCGGCCCCGCCACUGCCCGAGGUCCACAGCUUUUCCUGGGACAGCUCCCUCUGCGGCUCCUCCUCCCAGGCGCAGAGGACAACCCCAAGCCUCCCAGCCGCCCCGAGACGCCUCCACCCUCUCCUCGGUCUCCCGGUUUUAAUAACGACAGCAGCAGAUGCUGCGUGUCCAACUCUUGCCAUGAAGCUCUGUGCCUGUGUUACUUCACGUCCUCCUGGUUGUCCUGGGGGGCAGGUGCUGGUGUGCACCCCACUUCACAGAUGAAGAAAUUGAGGCACAGAAAACCUCAGACACGGGCUGGGGCCACACACGCAGAUGUGCGGAGCUGGGAUGUGGCCGCCGUAGCCCCGGUGCCGGGAUGAAGAUCAGCUCCGUCUCAGGCAGUCCCUCUCGGGCUCUGCAUCCUGCUGUGCACCCCACCCCCGCCAAGCAACUCCCACCUCGCAGCCUGUGCUGUGCCAUUGCCCUCUUCCUACCAACAGCUGCACACAACCCGCCACCCGCCACUGCGUUCAAAACCCCUGUCCCUUUUCCGCCUUCUGUUUCUCCCUCCCCCACCCACAGCCCCCCUCCCUUCAUGCAAAUGUCAGCGCCACCCAUGGCUCUGUGUCCUCAACCCCCACUCACUCCUCUGCCCAUGCCAAUCUGCCUCCUGCCCCUUCACCCACGGGAUGCCAGUGACCUCCAGUCUAUGUCUCAGCUCGCGAUUGCCCUUGGGUUAAAUGUGUGCCUGAUGCAAAGGCAGAAAGGGAUAAGCAAACAAAUGAACACAUACAAUGUUACAAGAGACUCUAUUUCCCACCACUCUGAUCCUCAGCCCGCCAACCAGCUCGCAUCCACACACCCCAAUAUCUCAGCUUCUCCAUCUGCAAUCCUGGGACCACCUGUGUUGGAAUCUCCUUUCCUAUCCCGACCCACCCAGAUCCCCCAAGGAGGUGCCCCUGGGCUGGGGGCCAGAUACGGGGGUGGGGGGCCUUUGGGUCUUUUCCAGCCCUGUCACCUGCAACUGUGGGGAGCUGGAGCAGGUGAGGUGUGUCCCCACCCUCACCUGUUGUGAGGGCUGCUGUGACGCUCAAAGCAGAGAGAGAAUCUGAAGUUGUAGCACCAGGCCAGACUCGGAUAAGCGGGCAGUGCACACCAGUGCUCCCACAGCGUGUCUGCAGAGUCUUGGAUACUCAGGUGCCAGCCCGGGGAAGGACGCAGGGACCUGGAGUGGCUGCAGGCAUGGAGUGACGUCAGCGGGAGGGAGAGCAAGCAUCUCUGGGUUCUACUUGGUAUCAGUUUGAAGCCACAAUUCCUUGGCACCUCUGCCCAAGGGUGGGAGCCGCGGGCUGUGAGCCGGCACAGUGCCAUCCUUCGAGACGGGAAUGAAAGCAGGCAGCCAGGGG